GUAACACCACUUUUCGUGUCCCCAAUCAAAAAGAUGAAAAUACCCUCUGAUUUCAUUGUUUAUCGCUGCUUGUUGAGUCUCUCACCCCUUCUCCCUUUCCCUCACCAAACAAGAGCCAUUUAUAGGGUAUACUUCCUCGCCAUCGUUCCUCACCAUCGCGUCUCAAUUGCCUCCAUCCUCAACCGUCCCAGUGGCGGCGUCUCCCUCGGUAGCCAAAUUGUCGUCAUCGGAGGGUGGGUUCCUCACCUAUCUCUCUUCUCUCAAAUCUGAAUCGUUUGAAACAAAGUUGCUUGAAUGGUUUCCAUCUCUCCAAAUUUCAACUUCUUGGGUUCUAACUUCUACUCUAUCUCCGAUAUCAAAUCAUUACUGAAUAACAAUAUCUCCUCUCUCUAAAUCCGACUCAACAAUGUCCGAUUUGUGUUCUUGGCUCCACAGCAGGAUCGUCGAACCCCAUCUCCAAUUUUUACGCAGAGGUGCAGAGCCUAAGCAACUGGCGUUUUCAUCAGCUCUUAGUUAUAUGUGAUGUAGCACAAUCUCCGUCUUCUUCAGCUUCCACUGGAUCAACUCCAGCUACUUCAGGUAACAAUUGAAGGAAAUAAUGCCCUUGGUCCAAGGCGAUUCUAGUUGGUCAAUCUUAAAGCGGAUCUGGACAAGCUGUGGACUUUCUACGGAAGGACGACACUUGGAGUCCUAAAGACUUGUUCUUGUUCGGUUCGGGCGCAGCUAGGGAGGGCACGCUACAAAGUGUCCACUUUCUCUUCUGAUCUUACAAAUGACCGAAUGGACCACUAAUAUGGAGUUUAUUUGGACCAAAUGGAGCAAUUCCCGGCUCUUAAAGAACCAAAUAGUCGAAGAAGAAACUGAUCAAGAUGGAAAAGUUUUGUUUGGACCAAUCAAUGGCCCUUCAGUUCUGAGCGCAAAACCAACCCCAGGAAUGCCAAUUGUGGAUGAUUGGGAUUGCUUGAAAUCAAUGGUAACAACAUAUAAUCGGGGAUAUACCAUUGGAAGCAUGCUUACACAAAGUACCAACAGAUCCAUUAGAACGUGGGUCUCAAUUGCCAGUCAAGUGGCGAUCACGGUUGGAUAAAACUCCUUAGGGGCCGCCUGGAUCAGAUGGAAUGGAGAGUAAAAAUUAGGGGAGCAGAAGUUAUGGGCUGAAAUGAUAAGCCUGGAUUGAGGUUAGAUUGUAAGGCCCAUAAUUUUCCCCCUCCACAAGGGUAUAAUACAUUACCCUAGCCCCCCCUAGUGUAACAAUUACUGGAGUAAAAAUCUGACGUUCUCUCCUCUCUCAUGCUUCGUAUAUUUGCCAUCUCUCUUUCUCUUCCAUUUUUCGUCUUUGUCCCCUCAUAUUCUCUCUCUUCCUCCAUUGAAGCUCUCAUGUACUAAUGACAAGGGUAAUUUAUUUUUAAUUUAUCUAUUAAUAUUUUGCUAUUUUACAAACAAUAACUUUCUUUUCAAAUUCUUUUACCCAGAAAUUAUCUUACUCUCCUGUUGAUUUGAUGAAGUUUGCAUAGUACAAUUGAUUUCUCAUCUGGAUAUCAUCAACACUUUUCGAAUCUUAUGCAAAAGUAACAGAUUCAGUAAUUUAUUUAUUUAUUUUUUUGUUGAAAAUUCAAUAAAUUACCGAACAAAAAAAAAA